rnacentral:rRNA from 1 species
AGAGUUUGAUUCUGGCUCAGAUUGAACGCUGGCGGCGUGCUUAACACAUGCAAGUCGAACGUGAAAGUCCUUCGGGGCGAGUAAAGUGGCGCACGGGUGAGUAACGCGUGGAUAAUCUACCCUUAAGAUGGGGAUAACGGCUGGAAACGGUCGCUAAUACCGAAUACGCUCCCGAUUUUAUCGUUGGGGGGAAAGAUGGCCUCUGCUUGCAAGCUAUCGCUUAAGGAUGAGUCCGCGUCCCAUUAGCUAGUUGGCGGGGUAACGGCCCACCAAGGCGACGAUGGGUAGCCGGUCUGAGAGGAUGACCGGCCACACUGGAACUGGAACACGGUCCAGACUCCUACGGGAGGCAGCAGUGGGGAAUAUUGCGCAAUGGGCGAAAGCCUGACGCAGCGACGCCGCGUGAGGGAUGAAGGUUCUCGGAUCGUAAACCUCUGUCAGGGGGGAAGAAACCCCCUCGUGUGAAUAAUGCGAGGGCUUGACGGUACCCCCAAAGGAAGCACCGGCUAACUCCGUGCCAGCAGCCGCGGUAAUACGGAGGGUGCAAGCGUUAAUCGGAAUCACUGGGCGUAAAGCGCACGUAGGCGGCUUGGUAAGUCAGGGGUGAAAUCCCACAGCCCAACUGUGGAACUGCCUUUGAUACUGCCAGGCUUGAGUACCGGAGAGGGUGGCGGAAUUCCAGGUGUAGGAGUGAAAUCCGUAGAUAUCUGGAGGAACACCGGUGGCGAAGGCGGCCACCUGGACGGUAACUGACGCUGAGGUGCGAAAGCGUGGGUAGCAAACAGGAUUAGAUACCCUGGUAGUCCACGCUGUAAACGAUGGGUGCUGGGUGCUGGGAUGUAUGUCUCGGUGCCGU